rnacentral:rRNA from 1 species
GACGAACCGUGCGAACGUUGUUCGGAAUCACUGGGCUUAAAGGGCGCGUAGGCGGGAGUUCAAGUCCGGGGUGAAAUCCUCCGGCUCAACCGGAGAACUGCCUCGGAUACUGAAUGUCUCGAGGGUGGUAGGGGUAUGCGGAACUAUCGGUGGAGCGGUGAAAUGCGUUGAUAUCGAUAGGAACUCCGGUGGCGAAGGCGGCAUACUGGACCACUUCUGACGCUGAGGCGCGAAAGCCAGGGGAGCAAACGGG